GUGGGGAAUAUUGGACAAUGGGGGGAACCCUGAUCCAGCCAUGCCGCGUGUGUGAAGAAGGCCUUUUGGUUGUAAAGCACUUUAAGCGAGGAGGAGGCUACCGAGAUUAAUACUCUUGGAUAGUGGACGUUACUCGCAGAAUAAGCACCGGCUAACUCUGUGCCAGCAGCCGCGGUAAUACAGAGGGUGCACGCGUUAAUCGGAUUUACUGGGCGUAAAGCGCGCGUAGGUGGCCAAUUAAGUCAAAUGUGAAAUCCCCGAGCUUAACUUGGGAAUUGCAUUCGAUACUGGUUGGCUAGAGUAUGGGAGAGGAUGGUAGAAUUCCAGGUGUAGCGGUGAAAUGCGUAGAGAUCUGGAGGAAUACCGAUGGCGAAGGCAGCCAUCUGGCCUAAUACUGACGCUGAGGUACGAAAGCAUGGGGAGCAAACAGGAUUAGAAACCCCGGUAGUCC
rnacentral:rRNA from 1 species